UACGUAGGGGGCUAGCGUUGUCCGGAAUCAUUGGGCGUAAAGAGCGUGUAGGCGGCCCGGUAAGUCCGCUGUGAAAGUCGGGGGCUCAACCCUCGGAUGCCGGUGGAUACUGGUCGGGCUCGAGUACGGAAGAGGCGAGUGGAAUUCCGUGGUGUAGCGGUGAAAUGCGCAGAUAUCAGGAGGAACACCGAUGGCGAAGGCAGAUCUCUGGGCCGUAACUGACGCUGAGGAGCGAAAGCAUGGGGAGCGAACAGG
rnacentral:rRNA from 1 species